rnacentral:tRNA from 1 species
GGCGGUUUGGCCGAGUGGUCUAAGGCGAUUGACUCGAAAUCAAUUCCGUUCGCGGGCGCAUUCGAAUCAUGCAGCCGUCG